AUUGAACGCUGGCGGCAGGCCUAACACAUGCAAGUCGAGCGGAGCGGCGGACGGGGGAGUAAUGCCUAUGAAUCUGCAUGGUAGUGGGGGAUAACGUCCGGAAAUGGACGCUGAUACCGCAUACUUUCAGUUGAGGCUAGGUCGGAUUAGCUAGUUGGUGGGGUAAAGGCCUACCCAGGCGACGAUCCGUAACUGGUCUGAGAGGAGGAUCAGUCACACUGGAACUGAGACACGGUCCAGACUCCUACGGGAGGCAGCAGUGGGGAAUAUUGGACAAUGGGCGAAAGCCUGAUCCAGCCAUGCCGCGUGUGUGAAGAAGGUCUUCGGAUUGUAAAGCACUUUAAGUUGGGAGGCGUUACCAACAGAAUAAGCACCGGCUAACUUCGUGCCAGCAGCCGCGGUAAUAC
rnacentral:rRNA from 1 species